AUCAACUUUCGAUGGUAGGAUAGAGGCCUACCAUGGUGGUAACGGGUAACGGGGUGUUAGGGCACGACACCGGAGAGGGAGCCUGAGAAACGGCUACCACAUCCAAGGAUGGCAGCAGGCGCGCAAAUUACCCAAUCCCGACACGGGGAGGUAGUGACAAUAAAUAACAAUACGGGGUUCUUUCGGAUUUCGUAAUUGGAAUGAGUACAAUUUAAAUCUCUUAACGAGGAACAAUUGGAGGGCAAGUCUGGUGCCAGCAGCCGCGGUAAUUCCAGCUCCAAUAGCGUAUAUUAAAGUUGUUGCAGUUAAAAAGCUCGUAGUUGAACUUCAGGCCUGGCUGGGUGGUCCGCCUCACGGCGUGUACUGUCUGGCUGGGUCUUACCUCUUGGUGAGCCGGCGUGCCCUUUAUUGGCGUGCGUCGGGGAACCAGGACCUUUACCUUGAGAAAAUUAGAGUGUUCAAAGCAGGCUAUUGCCUGAAUACAUUAGCAUGGAAUAAUGAAAUAGGACGUUUGACCCUAUUUUGUUGGUUUCUAGGAUCGACGUAAUGAUUAAUAGGGAUAGUUGGGGGCAUUAGUAUUCAAUUGUCAGAGGUGAAGUUCUUGGAUUUAUUGAAGACUAACUACUGCGAAAGCAUUUGCCAAGGAUGUUUUCAUUAAUCAAGAACGAAAGUUAGGGGAUCGAAGACGAUCAGAUACCGUCGUAGUCUUAACCAUAAACUAUGCCGACUAGGGAUCGGAUGAUGUUAAUUUUUUAAUGACUCAUUCGGCGCCUUACGGGAAACCAAAGUGUUUGGGUUC
rnacentral:sRNA from 2 species